UACGUAGGGCGCAAGCGUUGUCCGGAAUUAUUGGGCGUAAAGAGCUCGUAGGCGGCCUGUUACGUCUGCUGUGAAAUCCCGGGGCUUAACCCCGGGCGUGCAGUGGAUACGGGCAGGCUGGAGGCAGGCAGGGGAGAACGGAAUUCCCGGUGUAGCGGUGAAAUGCGCAGAUAUCGGGAGGAACACCGGUGGCGAAGGCAGGUCUCUGGGCUGACACUGACGCUCAUGCACGAAAGCGUGGGGAGCAAACAGG
rnacentral:rRNA from 1 species